GCCCGGGUGGCUCAAUGGUAGAGCGUUGGACUUCUAAGACUUGUUUAACCAGCAUGGUUCGGUUGAUGCGGAAGGCUAUCCAAAGGCUGCGGGUUCGAGUCCCGCCUUGGGUG
rfam:Magnaporthe poae ATCC 64411 unplaced genomic scaffold supercont1.17, whole genome shotgun sequence.